rnacentral:rRNA from 1 species
CUACACGGGUUUCUAAUCCUGUUCGCUCCCCACGCUUUCGUCUCUCAGCGUCAAUUGUCUGUUAGUCCCCUGCCUUCGCAAUCGGUGUUCUGUGUAAUAUCUAAGCAUUUCACCGCUACACUACACAUUCCAAGAACUUCACAGAUAUUCAAGACUACCAGUAUCAAAGGCAAUUUCUCAGUUAAGCUGAAACCUUUCACCCCUGACUUAAUAGCCCGCCUACAGACCCUUUAAACCCAAUGAUUCCGAAUAACGCUCGCAUCCUCCGUAUUACCGCGGCUGCUGGCAC